rnacentral:sRNA from 1 species
UGCCAAUUUCUUCUUCUUCUUUUUUGUUUGUUUUUGUUUU